rnacentral:rRNA from 1 species
UACAGAGGUCCCAAGCGUUGUUCGGAUUCACUGGGCGUAAAGGGCGCGUAGGUGGUUGGGUAAGUUUGAUGUGAAAUCUCCGAGCCUAACUCGGAAAAUGCAUUGAAUACUAUUCAGCUUGAGGAUUGGAGGGGAGAUUGGAAUUCUCGGUGUAGCAGUGAAAUGCGUAGAUAUCGAGAGGAACACCAGUGGCGAAGGCGAAUCUCUGGACAAUUCCUGACACUGAGGCGCGAAAGCUAGGGGAGCAAACAGG